rnacentral:rRNA from 1 species
AUACGGAGGAUCCGAGCGUUAUCCGGAUUUAUUGGGUUUAAAGGGUGCGCAGGCGGCCAUUUAAGUCAGCGGUUAAAUCGUGGGGCUCAACCCCAUUCUGCCGUUGAUACUGGGUGGCUUGAUUGCGGUCGAGGUUGGCGGAAUUCGUUGUGUAGCGGUGAAAUGCAUAGAUCUGACGAAGAACACCGAUUGCGUAGGCAGCUGACCAGACCGCAAAUGACGCUCAUGCACGAAAGUGCGGGGAUCGAACAGGAUUAGAUGCCCUGGUAGUCCGCACAGUAAACGAUGAAUACUUGUUUUCGGCGAUAUAAUGUCGGAGGCAAAGCGAAAGCGAUAAGUAUUCCACCUGGGGAGUACGCCGGCAACGGUGAAACUCAAAUGAAUCGGCGGGG